rnacentral:SRP_RNA from 1 species
GCUGGGCGUGGUGGCAGGCGCCUGUAGUCCCAGUUACUCGGGAGGCUGAGGCAGGAGAAUGGCGUGAACCCAGGAGGCGGAGCUUGCAAUGAGCCAAGAUUGCACCACUGCACUUCAGCCUGGGCUGGAGAAGGAGUAAGACUCCUUCUCAGAAGAAAAAAAAAAAGACAGGAUCUCGCUUUGUUGCCCAGGCUGGAGUGCAGUGGUGCAAUCUGGGUUCACUGCAACCUCUGCCUCCCAGGUACAAGCGAUUCUCGUGCCUCAG